rnacentral:rRNA from 1 species
UACGAAGGGGGCUAGCGUUGCUCGGAAUCACUGGGCGUAAAGGGCGCGUAGGCGGCGUUUUAAGUCGGGGGUGAAAGCCUGUGGCUCAACCACAGAAUGGCCUUCGAUACUGGGACGCUUGAGUAUGGUAGAGGUUGGUGGAACUGCGAGUGUAGAGGUGAAAUUCGUAGAUAUUCGCAAGAACACCAGUGGCGAAGGCGGCUCACUGGCCCAUUACUGACGCUGAGGCACGAAAGCGUGGGGAGCAAACAGG